UUGCUAUUUAUGAUGGGCAUUCUGGAGAUAAUGUGGCUUCCUAUUUACAGAAGCAUUUGUUUUCCAAUAUCAUAAACGAGGUGAUUUGUGGAUUCAGAAAUGCUUUCUCAGCUUAUUUAACUGCAUAUGACAGAUGCUCGGGUUUUCUGUAGCUUUAUCAGCUUAUUUAACUGCAUAUGACAGAUGCUCGGGUUCUCUGUUUCUUCCAUCGAGCCUUUAUUUGUUGCUUUUAGUUACUCUUGCCACAUAUUUUUGAAUUUUCCAGGAGGAUUUU
rnacentral:lncRNA from 1 species